UACGGAGGGUGCAAGCGUUGUUCGGAAUUAUUGGGCGUAAAGGGCGCGUAGGCGGUAAUGCUAGUCAGAUGGGAAAUACUCCGGCUCAACCGGGGAACUGCGUCUGAAACUGCAUAACUAGAGUACAGAAGAGGGAAACGGAAUUCCCGGUGUAGAGGUGAAAUUCGUAGAUAUCGGGAGGAACACCAGUGGCGAAGGCGGUUUCCUGGUCUGAUACUGACGCUGAGGCGCGAAAGUGUGGGGAGCAAACAGGAUUAGAUACCCUGGUAGUCCACACUGUAAACGGUGAACACUAGGUGUGGGAGGUGUAAUACCUUCCGUGCCGUAGCUAACGCGUUAAGUGUUCCGCCUGGGAAGUACGGCCGCAAGGUUGAA
rnacentral:rRNA from 1 species